AUUGAACGCUGGCGGCAUGCCUUACACAUGCAAGUCGAACGGCAGCACGGGGCAACCUGGUGGCGAGUGGCGAACGGGUGAGUAAUGCAUCGGAACGUACCUUUCAGUGGGGGAUAACGUAGCGAAAGUUACGCUAAUACCGCAUAUUCUGUGAGCAGGAAAGCAGGGGAUCGCAAGACCUUGCGCUGAUUGAGCGGCCGAUGUCAGAUUAGCUAGUUGGUGAGGUAAAGGCUCACCAAGGCGACGAUCUGUAGCGGGUCUGAGAGGAUGAUCCGACAAACUGGAACUGGGACACGGGCCAGACUCCUACGGGAGGCAGCAGUGGGGAAUUUUGGACAAUGGGGGCAACCCUGAUCCAGCCAUGCCGCGUGAGUGAAGAAGGCCUUCGGGUUGUAAAGCUCUUUCGGCCGGGAAGAAAUCGCACGGGCUAAUACCCUGUGUGGAUGACGGUACCGGAAUAAGAAGCACCGGCUAACUACGUGCCAGCAGCCGCCGUAAUAC
rnacentral:rRNA from 1 species